GAUGAACGCUGGCGGCGUGCCUAAUACAUGCAAGUCGAGCGAACGGACGAGAAGCUUGCUUCUCUGCUGUUAGCGGCGGACGAGUGAUUAACACGUGGAUAACCUACCUAUAAGACUGGGAUACCUUCAGGAAACCGGAGCUAAUACCCGUUGUUAUUUUGAACCUCAUGGUUCAUCGGUGCAAGACGUUCUUGCUGUCCCUUAUUCGUGGUACCAGGUUGGAUUAGCUAGUUGGUAAGGUAACGGCUUACCAAGGCAACGAUGCGUAGCCGAUCUGAGAGGAUGAUCAGUCACACUGGAACUGAGACACGGUCCAGACUCCUACGGGAGGCAGCAGUGGGGAAUAUUGGACAAUGGGCGAAAGCCUGACGGAGCAACGCCGCGUGUGUGAUGAAGGUCUUCGGAUCGUAAAACUCUGUUAGUAGGGAAGAACGUAAGUGUGAUAAUCUGUGCAUAUCUUGACGUUACCAAAACAGUAAGCAACGGCUAACUACGUG
rnacentral:rRNA from 1 species